AGUGAACGCUGGCGGUAGGCCUAACACAUGCAAGUCGAACGGCAGCACAGUAAGAGCUUGCUCUUACGGGUGGCGAGUGGCGGACGGGUGAGGAAUACAUCGGAAUCUACUUUUUCGUGGGGGAGAACGUAGGGAAACUUACGCUAAUACCGCAUACGACCUACGGGUGAAAGCAGGGGAUCUUCGGACCUUGCGCGAUUGAAUGAGCCGAUGUCGGAUUAGCUAGUUGGCGGGGUAAAGGCCCACCAAGGCGACGAUCCGUAGCUGGUCGGAGAGGAUGAUCAGCCACACUGGAACUGAGACACGGUCCAGACUCCUACGGGAGGCAGCAGUGGGGAAUAUUGGACAAUGGGCGCAAGCCUGAUCCAGCCAUACCGCGUGGGUGAAGAAGGCCUUCGGGUUGUAAAGCCCUUUUGUUGGGAAAGAAAAGCAGCAGGUUAAUACCCCGCUGUUCCGACGGUACCCAAAGAAUAAGCACCGGCUAACUUCGUG
rnacentral:rRNA from 1 species